CCAUUUAAAAGAUACUCAACGUACGAAAGUUUUCCAUUCCCGAGCGGAGAAUGGAGUACGACGCGUAUCGUUACUCCCGUUGGACGAUCCUCCUGUUGUCGCGUAGCGCAGCCGGUUGAGGUCCCAAGCGGAGGCAUCAAAGAAUGAAGAUAAUACUACAGUAACAGCACCGGGAGCGCAACGUUACGAUUGGAAUAACUUCUAAAUGUGUCAGCUGCGUUCACUCGGCCCGUAAAUACCAUCGCUUUAUUAUCAAAGAGUUCCACAAAUACAAUGCCAAACAAACCGACCGCAAUGAACACUCCGCAUAGAUAUUACCAGAAGCUACUAGAUGGAUGUUAAGUGGCUCAAGGCGCAACUUCAACAAGUAUCGGCGGUACUGUGGAUUGUAAAUCAUCGAUCGGUAUCGGAUACACGAUUUAUGGAAUAUUCGAUACUGUAUAAGUCUUCUAUGGCGUUCAAGGUGCUUCUGAAAGGGAUGAGCUUCUGUCUUCAUUAUUUAUUCUCGUUAACUGAUUAUUAUUAAGAGACUUAAUUACUUCCGUAGUCGAGCGUUAUUAUCUAUCUGAAAUACAUGAUUAGGGAUGCUGCGAUCGAAAUUGAAUUAUGACUCGAUUUUACGACGCAAUUCCAGUUACGUUGUUUAUAUAUGAAAUUGCUUUUACGCUGUUAAAUCAGGUAUUUUUACAUGAAAAGCGAAUGGGUUAAUAUUUAACUGUAUAUUAAAAUUAAUUUUUUUUUUUCAACAAAAUUUUCAAGUAUCAAGCGCUAUGUCUUUUAGUAUAUAUAUUUUUUUGGCGUAAUAUUUUGCACAGGCUAAUUUUUGCGUUCGCAAAAAGAUUUAUCUAUUGCCAAAAACUUAAAGCCGCGUGCUUAUGCGACAUCGUGUGUGCACCUAUGGGAAUCCAGUUCAAAGCAUUCCCUACACGCGGCGGUACGAAAGUCUGCAUAGUUCUAAGUAGGAAUGCCAUGGGGUGUCGUCACGGUCCGAGGAAGGUUGGUUACACCCCGUGAAUUACAGUUGUUCGUUACGAUGGUUCACUGUACAUCUUCACCUCGUAAAAUACCAUGGUUCGUUCAGCAGUCGAGAAGUAUUCGCAGUAGGGAAGUCAUGCAAAUUCCGAUCUACUCUUUGAAGUGAAAACGUGUAAAUGUGAAAAAAGAUACUGGAAUAAAAAAAAAGUAAAUAAAAAUGUUAUUUUUUACAUUUAUUUACUUGUGGGUAAUUUUCUAAAAUAUUUUCAUGAAUAUUAUCGAUAUUUUAAAAAUAUUUCUACAGCCGCAGUACUUCUAGAAGCCUCCGCCCUUUGAACUGCUACGACGGUGCGAGUCAUUUAUCAUUUAGACGAUCGAGUAUGACCGGUAAAAAGGACUCCCUGUGACACGUGUUUCCAUUUGCAAAUAUUUUUACUAUGCGUUUCAGCAGCAGCCUUUUAGGUUAACGGAAUUGGGAAUUCAGGGAAAUCGCACAGGAAUCCCUGUAUCGGGCGUGCAUUUUUACAGUUACAAAAAAUGGAACUGGAUUGCAAUUUCCAAAUUUUUAUUCGUGAAAUUUUACCACGGAACUAGGAUCCAGCUUGUAAUUGGAGAUCGUGGCGAAUAAUUUUUUUUCAAAAAACACUUGUAUUAAAUAAUAUAAUAUAAUACAAAAAUACAAAAAAAAA